CACGUAGUUAGCCGUGGCUUAUUCAUCGGGUACCGUCAGAACUUCUUCCCCGAUAAAAGAGGUUUACGACCCGAAGGCCUUCAUCCCUCACGCGGCGUCGCUGGAUCAGGCUUUCGCCCAUUGCCCAAGAUUCCUCG
rnacentral:rRNA from 1 species